AGUAAUGUGGCUUAGUGGUAGAGUGCUUGUCUAGCAUGCAGGAAGCCCUGGGUUCAAUUCCUCAGUACCA
rnacentral:tRNA from 1 species